rnacentral:rRNA from 1 species
AUGGCCUACGUACACCACAAUUUUGCCACUUUACUCAAGCUCUCCUCCCUCGCUCACCCAACACACUUUGUUAUCACCAACGUCUAUGCUCCCUCCCACCGCUCCGUUAAACAGGCCUUCCUCGACGAGCUCAAACAAAUCAAAGAAGACGAUCACACGUCCUGGCUAAUUGUCAGAGAUUUCAACCUCAUUUGUUUCUCUCAUGAAAAGAAUAACCCCAAUUUCCACCAACGAGAAGCCGACACCUUCAGCGCACUAAUUAACGAACUAGCCCUGAUGGAGCUACCCUUGUUAGACCGUAGAUUUACUUCGACAAACAACAUGCCCUCCCCUACACUUGAACGACUCAACUGCGCCUUCUGUAAUCUAGCUUGGAACUCACACUUCCUAAACACCACACUAUCUUCGCUCACGCAUAUCAUUUCCAAUCACGUCCCCUUAAUCAUCUAA